GUCCCUGUGGCGUAAUGGGUUGCGCAUUGGACUUUUAAUUCAAAAGUCGUGGAGUCGAAUUCCGCCUUGGAUG